GAUGAACGCUGGCGGCGUGCCUAAUACAUGCAAGUCGAGCGAACGGACGAGAAGCUUGCUUCUCUGAUGUUAGCGGCGGACGGGUGAGUAACACGUGGAUAACCUACCUAUAAGACUGGGAUAACUUCGGGAAACCGUAGCUAAUACCGGAUAAUAUUUUGAACCGCAUGGUUCAAAAGUGAAAGACGGGCUUGCUGUCACUUAUAGAUUGAUCCGCGCUGCAUUAGCUAGUUGGUAAGGUAACGGCUUACCAAGGCAACGAUGCAUAGCGGACCUGAGAGGGUGAUCGGCCACACUGGAACUGAGACACGGCCCAGACUCCUACGGGAGGCAGCAGUAGGGAAUCUUCCGCAAUGGGCGAAAGGCUGACGGAGCAACGCCGCGUGAGUGAUGAAGGUGUUCGGAUCGUAAAACUCUGUUAUUAGGGAAGAACAUAUGUGUAAGUAACUGUGCACAUCUUGACGGUACCUAAUCAGAAAGCCACGGCUAACUACGUG
rnacentral:rRNA from 1 species